CAGGAAAUAGCAUAUAUAGAAGUGUGUUUUGUUUACACCAAAAAAGAGGUUUAUCCUUUUCUGU
rnacentral:tRNA from 1 species